rnacentral:lncRNA from 1 species
CCAAAUCUCUCUCUUUAAAAAUUGUGAUACACAGUGGUCCAGCCAUGCACAUAAAUUGAAGAAAUUAAUUGUACUAUUGUUGUGUCUCAAAGUUGACUGUGCCUCAUAUCCUGAAGAAGAUAACAAAAGAAGCAAACAUUAGAGGGAGCUGUACAUCAUUUUCACAAUCAAGAAUGGUUUGUACUGAAUAAAAAUAUGCCCUUGAACACGAUGUACAAGACUUAAAAGGGGCAACAAUCAUAAAAGUUUAAAUUUGUUGGAAAGCCUUAAUAUACUACCUCCAUUUUCAUCCUUGGUACUUCAUUCCCCUUUCAUAUGUGAUUUCUCAAGAUUAGUGUUUACCUCCAUUAAGUUGCACUUUAUAGCAGCCAUAUAUAAACUCUGCAUCAAAUACCAAGUCUUGUCAAUGUUGAUAGCAUCAAUGACAUAACAUAAAAGGGAGGGGGAGAGUUAAGCUAUGAUCAUUAGAUGUUGCAGCUUCCAUGUAGCUAAUCAAUCCAAGAUAGAUAUACCUACUGGCAUAUAAUCCAUUACAUGAUACUCCUUCCUCCUUAUGAAAUAUAUAUAAGGACAUGAGAAUAUACAAGAAUGCUUUUUCACAAUUAUUAUGUAGCAGAUAUUAUUGAAGAUGCGAGGCAUUUGCCUCCUUGGAAAGCAACUGCAGUACAUAAAGCUUGUCCCCAGAGUAGAUUAUCAAUAUGAUAAUGGAUAAUACUCUUUACCUUUUCAUGUGAUUUCGGAAAGUGGAUAAGUAAGACUUUGUGUCCAAAUGCUAAGCUGUUUUCUCAUUCAAACAACAUAAAACAGUUUUAGGGUUAUUUUUAAAAUUGUUAAGAUAAAAGAUAAAAUGCUCAUACAUGGAUAGGACAAACAAAAUUAUUGCAUGUUAAUAGGUUUUCCAUAAAAAGCAGCACCAACAUAAAUCCUAAUCACCAGGAAGACUAAUUUAUAUCAUUUCUGACUUCAAACUCAUCACAAGAGCCACAAAAUAAUAUUAGAAUGACAUUCGUAGUUGAGAACAUAAGUAGUCAAAAACUAAGGUCUAUACAAAAGCACUUUUUCUGUCAAACCCCAAAAGUAGUUCCUACCAUCAAAAAUUGUUUCAUCGAUUCAUAAAGCAGAGGUAAUCUCUCUGACUAAUCUCCUUGAGCAUGCCACAAGGAAGCAGGAUAAGAAGACCAGAAACUUAAAUAAGAAAAUAAUUUUCUUGAAAAUUCAUCCAAAGCUGAGGCGGAGCCAGGAAGGGGGUUCCAUAUUCAAAGAAAACUUAGUCGAAGGGGAUUCAACACCUACUAUAACCACAUAAAAAAUAAUUGCAAUCAUGUAUAAAUAGUAUAUUUUUCCAUCGAAGGGGGUUCGGCCGAGGCUGGCUCCACCCCUGAUCCAAAGAGAAGGGUGUCAAAAUAAAGCAAUAUAAUAGAGAAAUUGGAAAAUUUAUGAUUUCAAUUCCUAGAGAAGCAGAAAAACUUGUUGAUAGAGGAGUAUAUGAACGUUUGAUUGUG